CCCUUAGAUGUUCUGGGCUGCACGCGUGCUACACUGAUAUUGCCAAUAUGUCAUUCUUAUCCGGAAUGGAUUGGGUAAUCAAGUAAUGAAAUUUCAUGCUUGGAAUCGGUAAUUGCAAUUUUAUCGUGAACGAGGAAUUCCUAGUAAGCACUAGUCAUCAGCUAAUGUUGAUUAUGUCCCUGCCCUUUGUACACACCGCCCGUCGCUACUACUGAUUGGGUGUUCAAGUGAGAUGCUUAGACCCUUGUUGCAUGGUUCAUUAUUGUGCUCCGAAAGGAAAAAGUUUCAAGCUUGAGUGUCUAGAGGAAGUAAAAGUCGUAACA
rnacentral:rRNA from 1 species